rnacentral:rRNA from 1 species
CCUACGGGAGGCAGCAGUAGGGAAUUUUGCACAAUGCUCGUAAGCGUGACGCAGCGACACCGCGUGAGUGACGAAGGCCUUCGGCUCGUAAAGUUCUGUCGACGGGGAAGAACAUGCCUAUAAGUAACUGUUUAUGUAUUGACGGUACCUGUAUAGGCAGCCCCGGCUAACUCCGUGCCAGCAGCCGCGGUAAUACGGAGGGGGCGAGCGUUGUUCGGAGUGACUGGGCGUAAAGCGCACGUAGGCGGUGGUGUAAGUCAUUAGUCAAAGACUAGAGCUCAACUUAAGUAAGGCUAGUGAUACCAUAAGACUAGAGUAGAAGAGAGGACGGCAGAACUCCUGGUGUAGCGGUGAAAUGCGUAGAUAUCAGGAGGAACACCGUUAGCGAAGGCGGCAAUCUGGCUGGAAACUGACGCUGAGGUGCGAAAGCGUGGGUAGCAAACAGGAUUAGAUACCCGUGUAGUC